rnacentral:rRNA from 1 species
AUAUAUUUGAGUUUGGUGAUGGCUCUGAUUGAACACUGUCCAAGUGCUUGACACAUGCUAAUCGUACGUUUUAAUACAAAUUAUUAAAAAGUGGUGUACAGGUGAGUAUUAGAUAUUUUUUGCCGACCUUAAAGAGAAGCUAGAUACUUCAUAAUAAUAAAGAGGUGAAAACCUUGCUUUAAGAGGACGAUAAUUAUCAUCGGGACAGGUAGUAGUUAAGGUGAUGACUUAACUAGCCGACAAAUCCCGUAGUCGAAUCUGGAAGGAUGAUCGACCACAUUGGGUCUGAAAAAAGCCCAAUGCAUAUAAGUACAGCAGUGAGGAAUUUUGGUCAAUGGCCUAACGGCUGAACUGGCAACUUGGAGAAGCGGAAAGUCAUACCUCUAUAGAUAACUUACUAUAUGUAUGUAUUAGAUUAGAUUAAUUUUUGAAUGAAGCUUUGUUUAUAUAUCAAUAAUGAUGAUGUAUAUAUAAUGUCUUGACCAAUUACGUGCCAGCAGUCGCGGUAAUACGUAAGAGACUAGUGUUAUUCAUAUGAAUUAGGUUUAAAGGGUACUUAGGCGGCCAUAACAUCUUGUAAAAAUGCAAAUAUUAGGCUAGAGUUAUAAUAGAAGAGGGUAGUACUUGAGGAGGAGAGAUAAAAUUCAUUGAUACCAAAGGGACUGGUUACGGCGAAAGCAACCCUUUAAAUAGUAACUGACGUUGAAGGACGAAGGCAUUGGUCACGAACAGGAUUAGAUACCCUUAGUAGUCUUUGCAGUCAAUGAUGAAUGUCAUGAGUUGGAUGAAAAUCUGGCACAUAAAUAAAAGUGUAAGCAUUCCACCUCAAGAGUAAUGUGGCAACGCAGGAACUGAAAUCACUAGACCGUUUCUGACACCAGCAGUGAAGUAUGUUGUUUAAUUCGAUAAUCCACGAAAAACCUUACCGCGGUUUGUAUAGUUUAGCUUAGGCUAACACUACAGGUAUUGCACGGCUGUUUUCAGUUAAUGUUGUGAAACUGUGUAUUUAUUACACUUAAUUAACGUAAUCCUUGACUUUAUUUUGUAGAUUUACGAUAAAGUGUUUACUUCGUUAUACAUGGAGUUAUGAGAAAGGGGACUAAUACAAGUCAUCAUGGUCUUGAUACCGCGGGCUACAGACGUGCCACAUCUUCCUAAACAAAGAGAUGCAAAAAUGUGAAUUUAAGCUAAUCUCAAAAAAUAGGAUAUAAUUUUAAUGGAUUGUAGUCUGAAACUCGACUAUAUGAAAAAGUAAUUGCUAGUAAUCGUGAAUCACCAGCGUCACGGUGAAUAUUGCUCGGAUUGGUACUAACCACUCGUCACAUGCUGAAAGGUGUAUAUACAAUAAGUUUGCUUUUAUUGGUUUAAGAUCUUGUACAAAUAGGUAUCUUCUUACACCGUAAAUCUUCGCAUGUAUAUCGCUGAUUAGUGUAAAGUCGAAAUACGGUUCGUGUAGCGGAAGUUGCACGGGAAGCAUGACUAUU